CAUGCAAGUGGAGCGACGAACCUUUUAGGGGCGAAGCCGCGAACGGGUGAGUAACACGUGGGCAAUCUGCCCAGUUGACCGGAAUAACCCGAGGAAACUCGAGCUAAUACCGGAUGUGCCAUUCCCUCACAAGAGGGCCUGGUAAAGGGAGCUUCGGCUAUCCGCAACUGGAGGAGCCUGCGGGGCAUUAGGUAGUUGGUGGGGUAAAGGCCUACCAAGCCGACGAUGCCUAGCUGGUCUGAGAGGACGAUCAGCCACACUGGAACUGAGACACGGUCCAGACUCCUACGGGAGGCAGCAGUGGGGAAUCUUGCACAAUGGGCGACAGCCUGAUGCAGCAAUGCCGCGUGAGGGAAGACGGCCUUCGGGUUGUAAACCUCUUUCAGUUGGGAAGAAGGUUGGACGGUGAAUAGCCGGUUCGACUGACGGUACCUUCAGAAGAAGCCCCGGCUAACUACGUGCCAGCAGCCGCGGUAAUACGUAGGGGGCAAGCGUUGUCCGGAAUCAUUGGGCGUAAAGCGCGUGUAGGCGGUUACGUAAGUCUGCUGUGAAAGUCGGAGGCUCAACCUUCGAAUGCCAGUGGAAACUACGUGACUAGAGUACGGAAGAGGAGAGUGGAAUUCCUGGUGUAGCGGUGAAAUGCGCAGAUAUCAGGAGGAACACCAACGGCGAAGGCAGCUCUCUGGGACGUUACUGACGCUGAGACGCGAAAGCGUGGGGAGCAAACAGGAUUAGAUACCCUGGUAGUCCACGCCGUAAACGAUGGUCACUAGAUGUGGGGGGUGUCGACUCCCCCGUGUCGUAGCUAACGCGUUAAGUGACCCGCCUGGGGAGUACGGCCGCAAGGCUAAAACUCAAAGGAAUUGACGGGACCCGCACAAGCAGCGAGCAUGUGAUUAAUUCGACGCAACGCGAGACUUACUGGCUUGACAUACUGCUGACUCUGUGAACACAGAC
rnacentral:rRNA from 1 species